AUUGAACGCUGGCGGCAUGCCUUACACAUGCAAGUCGAACGGUAACGCGGGGCAACCUGGCGACGAGUGGCGAACGGGUGAGUAAUGUAUCGGAACGUGCCCAGUUGUGGGGGAUAACUGCUCGAAAGAGCAGCUAAUACCGCAUACGACCUGAGGGUGAAAGCGGGGGAUCGCAAGACCUCGCGCAAUUGGAGCGGCCGAUAUCAGAUUAGGUAGUUGGUGGGGUAAAGGCUCACCAAGCCAACGAUCUGUAGCUGGUCUGAGAGGACGACCGGCCACACUGGGACUGAGACACGGCCCAGACUCCUACGGGAGGCAGCAGUGGGGAAUUUUGGACAAUGGACGCAAGUCUGAUCCAGCCAUGCCGCGUGCGGGAAGAAGGCCUUCGGGUUGUAAACCGCUUUUGUCAGGGAAGAAACGCUCUGGGUUAAUACCUCGGGGUAAUGACGGUACCUGAAGGGUAAGCACCGGCUAACUACGUGCCAGCAGCCGCGGUAACAC
rnacentral:rRNA from 1 species